GAUGAAGAACGCAGUGAAAUGCGAUAAGUAAUGUGAAUUGCAGAAUUCAGUGAAUCAUCGAAUCUUUGAACGCACCUUGCGCUCCCUGGUAUUCCGGGGAGCACGCCUGUUCGAGUGUCGCGAAAUUCUUCAAGCCUUGGAUGGAUUUUUUUUUGUCUGUCCUUGGGCUUGGUUGUUGGGCUCUGCCGUGUCCUUCAUUGGGACGGCUGGCCUUAAAAGCAUUAGCCGAUCCUCGUGUGGUACUGGUUCUACUCAGCGUGAUAACAAUCUGAUCGUUGAGGACAUCUUCUGGAUGGCCAGUCAUCAUUUGGGUUGCUUCUAAACCGGUUUCGCAGAUUGCUCAAUCUGUGUGCCACUUUUCAGCUUUGACCUCGAAUCAGGUGGGACUACCCGCUGAACUUAAGCAUAUCAAUAAGCGGAGGA
rnacentral:misc_RNA from 1 species